CCUACGGGUGGCAGCAGUGAGGAAUAUUGGUCAAUGGGCGCGAGCCUGAACCAGCCAAGUCGCGUGAAGGAUGACUGCCCUACGGGUUGUAAACUUCUUUUAUAAAGGAAUAAAGUGAGGCAAGUGUGCCUUUUGGUAUGUAGUUUAUGAAUACGGAUCGGCUAACUCCGUGCCAGCAGCCGCGGUAAUCCGGAGGCUCCGAGCGUUAUCCGGAUUUAUUGGGUUUAAAGGGAGCGUAGGUGGGUUGUUAAGUCAGUUGUGAAAGUUUGCGGCUCAACCGUAAAAUUGCAAUUGAUACUGGCAGACUUGAGUACAGUAGAGGUAGGCGGAAUUCGUGGUGUAGCAGUGAAAUGCGUAGAUAUCACGAAGAACACCGGUGGCGAAGGCAGGCUACUAGACUGCCACGGACAUUGAGGCUCGAAAGUGUGGGGAGCAAACAGGAUUAGAUACCCGGGUAGUC
rnacentral:rRNA from 1 species